rnacentral:rRNA from 1 species
CCUACGGGUGGCAGCAGUGAGGAAUAUUGGUCAAUGGACGAGAGUCUGAACCAGCCAAGUAGCGUGAAGGAUGACUGCCCUAGGGGUUGUAAACUUCUUUUAUAUGGGAAUAAAAUGUUCCACGUGUGGGAUUUUGUAUGUCCCAUAUGAAUAAGGAUCGGCUAACUCCGUGCCAGCAGCCGCGGUAAUACGUAGGAUCCGAGCGUUAUCCGGAUUUAUUGGGUUUAAAGGGAGCGUAGGUGGAUUGUUAAGUCAGUUGUGAAAGUUUGCGGCUCAACCGUAAAAUUGCAGUUGAAACUGGCAGUCUUGAGUACAGUAGAGGUGGGCGGAAUUCGUGGUGUAGCGGUGAAAUGCUUAGAUAUCACGAAGAACUCCGAUUGCGAAGGCAGUUCACUGGACUGCAACUGACACUGAGGCUCGAAAGUGUGGGUAUCAAACAGGAUUAGAUACCCUUGUAGUC